UUUCUGAAACAGGUUAGAAAUAUCUUCUAAGUACAAAACGUGAUUUUUCUUUAAUAAUUGUUUCCUUUUCAUGUAUUAGUAAUUGAUAGACAAACCUGUGACUGAAAGAAUCCUCUUCAUCUUAUUGACCAAUGUCUGUGAGAAUCUUCUAAAUCAAUAGACAAGUCAAACAUCUCAUCGAUUAUUUGCGAUGAUCUCCAUGAUCCCAGGCUGGUCCUCAUUGCCUAAUACAUAUGGUGGUUUUUUUUUUUUUUUUGGGUAAGCUAACAACCAUUUUAUUAGAAAGAAAACAAUGCAAGACAAACCCAAAGAAGAAGGGGCAAAGACUUAGAUGAUAGGAAAUAUCUAUCACAGUACAAGGAAAAACCCUCCUCCCAAUUUUCUCCUGUUUGCUCUUUUCUGUACCUGGCAAUGUCCUCAAGGACCUUAAAGGCCACGGUCCAGUUGACUAUUCUACCACUAGCUCUUCAAAGGGUAAGUUCUUGCAGAGUGUCAUUUGCUGUGUCCUUUCCAUAUUGAUUGUGGCCCAGCUAGUAGGGCAAGAUGACACAAAGUCAUCUCCUUUUUCCCUUAUAGCCUUCAUGCCAUGCAUGAAAAAGCCUCAAUCACGCUACAAUUACCCCCGACAUCACCUGUACUAUCCCAAACAGGUCGGAAAAUCUCUGCUAGGUCAUAAUCAUCUAAUACUUAUCCCAACUAAUUGGGGUCAGGAAUCGAAUCCCAUUCCGCCAUUCCACUCUAUCACUGACCAUAUCCAUAGUUAAAUCAUAGGUCCCCAAGUCUUUCUUACAAUCUCCUUUUGCAUCCUUUUGGGCCUUUCCCUUGCCAUUUUAGAGCCUUCAACUUGAACCAACUCACUCCUAACCAGUGCUGAAAAUCUCUGCCAAGUGCCUCCGAAAUGGAAGUGUUCCAUCAAUUCCUUUUUCUAAAGGCAUAAAAUACAAACAUUAAUAUGAACGUAUUUUGGCCUCUCAAAGGAUUGAUGGUGAGCUUUUUAUCCUUCACAACUAACCAAUCAAUACAAUCACCGGGGGAAAUCCUGGAUUAUUCCAAAUGUGUUCUACUAGGGUAGUUGCCUGUAGCCCUCUAAUACAAGUUAUUGGUGGAUGGAAACUGACCAUAUUCCAACUCUGUUCAUCUCCCUCCCUUGAACUCGAUUUCCACAUAUUCAAUAGCUCCAUAAGAUUUUGGAAGUGUUCAAUCUCUUCAUCAUUUAGGUCCCUCUCAUAUACCAGAAUCCACAAGAUCCCCUAUACUAAUGAAAACUAGUGAAAUCACGAGCUCUCUUGCGGGAACCACUUGGUACAACUUGGAAUGGACUUGUCUUAGGACACUGUCAUAAUGCCUUAGGGCUUUGUUGUCACAUCAUGUGUCCUACCAGAAACGACUACAUGAUCCAUCCCCAAUUUCCCUACAUCCACCUAAGUCCUUUUCAAUCCUAAAUGCCACUUUCCAAAAUCCUGAUUGACGGCCCAUGUCUGAUGAGCCAAAUCUUGAAAUCCUAUCUAAAAGAUCCCUAGCCGUAGCUGUGUUUCGAUCUUUGACCUAAGUUUUACUUAACUAUGGUAAUUGGUCUUUUUCUUUCUUCGUUCCUAAGAACACCAUCACCAUGGUGAGGCUUUGUGGACCCUGGUUACAAUUCAACUUUCCAUCCUAACUGAGCUUGAUAGAUUACACUGGAGGUUCGUUUCAGUUUUACAACCUUCAUUUCCUUUCUUAAGAGUGACUUUCAGUUUUGAUUGAUGCCAGGCACGUUAAUCCUUCAACCCUCUCAUGGAAUGAUGAAAUCCCUUCGAGCAUAAAGUUGCACAAUUUGAAUAUCCAUAAAGCAUAUCUCCAUUGACAUUAUAAUUGCAGCAGUUCUAUUUUUCCCUCAAGGAACCAUGAAAGCAACAGGAGUUGUCGUGCAUGCGUCAUCUCCAAAAGGUUUUGAAUUUGGGCAUUAUUCUAAUUCACAAUACAUCAAGAGUUGAAAUCCUUUUGACACUUAAUGGUCAUGAAACCAUUUAAGUCUUUGGUCACUGAAAAACAUACCUAAUGGACUGCUUCUGUGUUCUAAUCAAAUCGUGUUUCCCUUCCAAGCUUUUGGUUAUUAGGAUCUUAUCACGCUCUAAACUUUUUUUUUUUUGGGAGAGAAGACAAGAAAUUUUUAUUAAAGAACAAACAGAAAGGAGCAGAAACAACAAGAAGGGCUGAGAGAGCGACCUGAAAUUACCCAAGAAAGUCCAGAUUACAACCCUUUAAUUUUUAAACACUACAAGCCCAUUCAAUGAUCAACCCUCUAGCUCUUUGGGAGAUUCCUUCCACCAACUUGCUAGAAUUAUUGAAGCACCUUGCAUUUCUGUCAUCCUAAACAGCCCACCAAAUUGUGAGCAAAGCCAUUCUCCAAAGCAUUUUCCUUAUUGGUCCCUAGGCUCACCCCAUUCCAAGCAUAUAACAAAUAGUCCACCAAUGUCGGGGUGGACCACAUCAUGAGAAAUCGACUCAACGUAUCUGCCCAAAUCAGGCCCAGAAAAGGGCAAUGCAGAAAAAAGUGGUCCACUAAGUCCUCAUUUUGCAUACACAAGCUACAGAUCUUUGGGAUCACCAUAGCUCUUUUCCAAAGAUUGUCAAUGGUUAGAACUUUCUUCCUACCAACCAGCCAUCUGAACGCCGCUAUCUUUGGAGGGAUAUUGUAGAACCAAACAAAACUUGUGCUUCCCACCUCUCUUUGACGAUUAUCCCCUCUCACAAGGGAGUAAAAGGACUUGACCAUGAACUACCCCGAUUUGUCAACCUUCCACAUCAUCUUGUCCAGUUCAGAUAAGACCAGGGUGAAAAAGUGGAUGCGCUCAAGGUGUGCCACGUAGUCCUUGACUUUCUCAUCACGAAGAAACCGUCUACAUGGGGGUUCCUAAAUGACCGAGUCUCCUAUUCGGGAGUAUCUAUCAACUACCAUAACGGACAAAUCCAGGGCCAAACGGAAGAUACUAAGGAAUUCAUCUUUUUACAGUGAGGAUCCCACCCACACAUUUUCCCAAAGUCUGAUUUUUUCACUGUUGCCACUGAGAUGCCUUCCCCGCCCAAGAAAGCUAUCUUCAGAAAAGAGACUCCUUUCCACAAAAUUGAUGCUCUGUAAGCUGAAGAAUCCCUAGUCCACUAACCCCCAAUCGUGGAUCUGUAUUUGCUUUGAACCACCUCUUUCCAAAGCCCCCAUCCUGAACCUCCAAAGCCAUUUCCGGAGCAACACAAUAUUCAUGGACCACGCUCUAAAUUACGUAUAGAAGUGGAGUGUUUUAGGGUCCAUUUGGAUUUAACUCUAGGUUGCGAGUGAAACAACUACUCUGGUGGAAGGGAUGGUUAUCUGCUCUGUUGUGCAUUUGGAACAGCAUUGAACACCAUCAGCUGUUCCGAUGAGUUGCUUGUUUCGAGAUGAUGUUCAUCAAGCUACGGUUCAAAGUUUAGGUGUGUACUUCUUCUCAAUGGUACAAGGUGUCCCAUGGAGGUGCUUCAUGCAAGGUCUCCUGGAUAGCAGGACCAUAAUGUGGUAUGGGAACGGGUACAUGAUGAGGCCAAAUGCAUUAGUGAAGAGGGUACCGGAAUGGAUGUCAGUAUUCUGCUGCGUCCAAGCCUGUGACCUUUCAGAAAUUGAAACAAUGGUUUCAGCAAUAGUCGCUUGCUUGAAAUAUAGUCAUGUAGAUCGCAGCCCUCCCCGCACAGCUUGAUGUGCCCAUGUGGCAUGCCUGUGUGAGAUUCAGGCCAUCCAUCAAGUGGGUCCCACCUUGAGAGAAGCAGCAUACAUUAUCAGGACCUACUCAGGUGCGAUGUUGUUUUUUCUCCAUUAUCCUAAUCUUAGUUUUUUUUUUUCUUCUAUUUAUUUUAUAACUACCAAAUUUCUGCCUGAGUCAGGCGAGUCUUUGAGUCGACCCAACCUGACCGAACCUCAAAACGAGUCGGGUUUUAGGGAUUUUGAACUAUGCUAUUGGACUAUAUGGAUGGACUGUUUGACCAACUUGGGCCGCAUGAUCUCUGGUCCACAGUUGGAUCAUUUAGGAGAAAAUAGUUUCCAAAGAUAGAUUCCUCUUUCAUUGUAGUAGUUUUCUAAUUCAUUUAUUGUUCCCUUUCCCAAAUUGAAAUUUGUUUAGGGUGUGUUUGGUUACA